UACGUAGGGUGCGAGCGUUAAUCGGAAUUACUGGGCGUAAAGCGUGCGCAGGCGGUUUUGUAAGCCAGAUGUGAAAUCCCCGGGCUUAACCUGGGAAUGGCAUUUGGGACUGCAAGGCUUGAGUGCGGCAGAGGAGACUGGAAUUCCCGGUGUAGCAGUGAAAUGCGUAGAUAUCGUAAGGAAGACCAGUGGCGAAGGCGAGUCUCUGGACAGUUACUGACGCUGAGGCACGAAGGCCAGGGGAGCAAACGGG
rnacentral:rRNA from 1 species